rnacentral:tRNA from 1 species
GCUUUCGUGGUGUAGUGAUUAGCCCGCUCGACGCAUGUUCGAGAGGUCCGGGGUUCGAAUCCCGGCAAAGGCA